rnacentral:rRNA from 1 species
CGCUGGCGGCGUGCUUAACACAUGCAAGUCACGGGGGGCCCGCAAGGGUAACCGGCGAACGGGUGCGUAACACGUGAGCAAUCUGCCGUACACUGGGGGAUAGCCGGCCCAACGGCCGGGUAAUACCGCAUACGUUCCUCGCCUGGCAUCAGGUGGGGAGGAAACCUCCGGGGGGUGUACGAGGAGCUCGCGGCCUAUCAGCUAGUUGGUGGGGUAACGGCCUACCAAGGCGAUGACGGGUAGCUGGUCUAAGAGGAUGGCCAGCCACAUUGGGACUGAGAUACGGCCCAGACUCCUACGGGAGGCAGCAGUGGGGAAUAUUGCGCAAUGGCCGCAAGGCUGACGCAGCGACGCCGCGUGGGGGAUGAAGCAUUUCGGUGUGUAAACCCCUGUUGCUCGGGACGAACAACCCUUUUCGAGGGGUCUGACGGUACCGGGUGAGGAAGCACCGGCUAACUCCGUG